UGGGGAAUAUUGGACAAUGGGGGCAACUCUGACCCAGCAAUGCCGCGUGAAUGAUGAAGGUCUUCGGAUUGUAAAGUUCUGUGAUGGGGGACGAAGAAAGUGACGGUACCCCAAUAGCAAGCUACGGCUAACUACGUGCCAGCAGCCGCGGUAAAACGUAGGUAGCAAGCGUUGUCCGGAAUGACUGGGCGUAAAGGGUGCGUAGGUUGCUUGGCAAGUUGGUGGUGAAAUUCCGGGGCUUAACUCCGGCGCUACCACCAAGACUGCUGAGCUUGAGUACAGGAGAGGUAAGUGGAAUUCCUAGUGUAGCGGUGGAAUGCGUAGAUAUUAGGAGGAACACCAGUGGCGAAGGCGACUUACUGGCCUGCAACUGACACUGAGGCACGAAAGCGUGGGGAGCAAACAGG
rnacentral:rRNA from 2 species